rnacentral:rRNA from 1 species
UAGGGAAUCUUCCGCAAUGGGCGAAAGCCUGACGGAGCAACGCCGCGUGAGUGAUGAAGGUCUUCGGAUCGUAAAACUCUGUUAUUAGGGAAGAACAAAUGUGUAAGUAACUAUGCACGUCUUGACGGUACCUAAUCAGAAAGCCACGGCUACCUACGUGCCAGCAGCCGCGGUAAUACGUAGGUGGCAAGCGUUAUCCGGAAUUAUUGGGCGUAAAGCGCGCGUAGGCGGUUUUUUAAGUCUGAUGUGAAAGCCCACGGCUCAACCGUGGAGGGUAAUUGGAAACUGGAGAACUUGAGUGCAGAAGAGGAAAGUGGAAUUCCAUGUGUAGCGGUGAAAUGCGCAGUGAUAUGGAGGAACACCAGUGGCGAAGGCGACGUUCUGGUCUGUAGCUGACGCUGAUGUGCGAAGGCGUGGGGAUCAAACAGG